UACGUAGGGCGCAAGCGUUGUCCGGAUUCAUUGGGCGUAAAGAGCGUGUAGGCGGCCAGGUAGGUCGGUUGUGAAAACUCGAGGCUCAACCUCGAGAUGUCGGCUGAAACCAUCUGGCUAGAGUCCGGAAGAGGAGAAUGGAAUUCCCGGUGUAGCGGUGAAAUGCGUAGAUAUCUGGAGGAACACCGGUGGCGAAGGCGGCAUCCUGGACCGGCAUUGACGCUGAGGCGCGAAAGCCAGGGGAGCAAACGGG
rnacentral:rRNA from 1 species